rnacentral:rRNA from 1 species
AUUGAACGCUGGCGGCAGGCCUAACACAUGCAAGUCGAGCGAGCGGCGGACGGGUGAGUAAUGUAUGGGGACUGCCCGAUAGAGGGGGAUAACUACUGGAAACGGUAUCUAAUCCCGCAUACUAUCGGAUAACCCAUAUGGGAUGAGCUAGUGGGUGAGGUAAUGGCUCACCUCGGCGACGAUCCCUAGCUGGUCUUAAAGGAUGAACAGCCAAACUGGGACUGAGAAACGGCCCAGACUCCUACGGAGGCAGCAGUGGGGAAUAUUGCACAAUGGGCGCAAGCCUGAUGCAGCGAUGCCGCGUGUAUGAAGAAGGCCCUAGGGUUGUAAAGUACUUUCAGUCGGGAGGCGUUACCGACAGAAGAAGCACCGGCUAACUCCGUGCCAGCAGCCGCGGUAAUUC